GACGAACCGUGCAAACGUUAUUCGGAAUCACUGGGCAUAAAGGGCGCGUAGGCGGCUUCAUAAGUCAGGGGUGAAAUCCGGCAGCUCAACUGUCGCAGUGCCUUUGAUACUGUGGAGCUAGAGGGAGGUAGGGGUCUGUGGAACUUCCGGUGGAGCGGUGAAAUGCGUUGAUAUCGGAAGGAACGCCGGUGGCGAAAGCGACGGACUGGAUCUCUUCUGACGCUGAGGCGCGAAAGCCAGGGGAGCAAACGGG
rnacentral:rRNA from 1 species